GAACACCAACCUGAAGAAGGCGCACGGCCGGAGCGAGAGGUGCUUCCCCACUCCCUUUUGCACCUCUCGCUCCGGCCAUGCGCCUUCUUCAGGUUG
rnacentral:miRNA from 1 species